AUUGAACGCUGGCGGCAUGCUUUACACAUGCAAGUCGAACGGUAACAGGCCGCAAGGUGCUGACGAGUGGCGAACGGGUGAGUAAUGCAUCGGAACGUGCCCAGUCGUGGGGGAUAACGCAGCGAAAGCUGCGCUAAUACCGCAUACGACCUAUGGAUGAAAGCGGGGGACCGUAAGGCCUCGCGCGAUUGGAGCGGCCGAUGUCAGAUUAGGUAGUUGGUGGGGUAAAGGCUCACCAAGCCGACGAUCUGUAGCUGGUCUGAGAGGACGACCAGCCACACUGGGACUGAGACACGGCCCAGACUCAUACGGGAGGCAGCAGUGGGGAAUUUUGGACAAUGGGCGCAAGCCUGAUCCAGCAAUGCCGCGUGCAGGAAGAAGGCCUUCGGGUUGUAAACUGCUUUUGUACGGAACGAAAAGGCUCUGGUUAAUACCUGGGGCUCAUGACGGUACCGUAAGAAUAAGCACCGGCUAACUACGUGCCAGCAGCCGCGGUAACAC
rnacentral:rRNA from 1 species